AUUGAACGCUGGCGGAAUGCUUUACACAUGCAAGUCGAACGGCAGCACGGGGCAACCUGGUGGCGAGUGGCGAACGGGUGAGUAAUACAUCGGAACGUGCCCAAUCGUGGGGGAUAACGUAGCGAAAGUUACGCUAAUACCGCAUACGAUCUACGGAUGAAAGCGGGGGAUCGCAAGACCUCGCGCGAAUGGAGCGGCCGAUGUCAGAUUAGGUAGUUGGUGGGGUAAAGGCUCACCAAGCCAACGAUCUGUAGCUGGUCUGAGAGGACGACCAGCCACACUGGGACUGAGACACGGCCCAGACUCCUACGGGAGUCAGCAGUGGGGAAUUUUGGACAAUGGGGGCAACCCUGAUCCAGCCAUGCCGCGUGUGUGAAGAAGGCCUUCGGGUUGUAAACUGCUUAUGUACGGAACGAAAAAGCUCUCUCUAAUACAGGGGGUGAAUGACGGUACCGUAAGAAUAAGCACCGGCUAACUACGUGCCAGCAGCCGCCGUAAUAC
rnacentral:rRNA from 1 species